GCUUUUGUUGAAAAAGGAAUGAGUAUGGUGAGAGAUGGCAGAGGGUCAUAUGAUAAGGAUUCAGGAUUGCUGCUCAGUGAGUGAGGGAAGUGGAAGAUGUAAGUACAGUGUGUAUCAAUGUAUGUGUGUGUGUGUAUCUGUAUGUGGGGGGAGGAAUGGAAGGUAGCGUAUACAAAAUGCAGACAAGAUUAAAAAAAAGGGAAAAA